UAUUGCACCUGAUGCCGACGAAGAGGCAAGCCUUAACGGCAUAUGGAAGGGAAGGAUCAUUAGUAGCGAAGUUUACACUCCAUCUGAGGAAGAAUCCUCAGGUGGUGAAAACAGCAUGGUAAAAUGCCGCAUACCUGACUCAGGUGAAACAAGAGCGGAUAGUUCUUUGGUAGGGUUUGUGAAUGGUGACAAUGUUUCCAUGCAAAAUAGUGAUUCUGG